UCCGCUUUGGCGCAGUUGGCAGCGUGAACCGCGAUAUCUAGACUGUAGAGUCCAAAGUUCGAGUCCUUGAAGCGGAA
rnacentral:tRNA from 2 species